rnacentral:ribozyme from 14 species
UUUUUUUUUUUUUUUUUUUUUUUUUUUUUCCCAAAAAAUU